ensembl:lncRNA
AACAAUAUCCCAUAACGUAGUGCUCAACCACACAAACACAAACAAUAUCCCAUAACGUAGUGCUCAACCACACAAACACAAACAAUAUCCCAUAACGUAGUGCUCAACCACACUAACACAAACAAUAUCCCAUAACGUAGUGCUCAACCACACUAACAAUAUCCCAUAACGUAGUGCUCAACCACACUAACAAUAUCCCAUAACGUAGUGCUCAACCACACUAACACAAACAAUAUCCCAUAACGUAGUGCUCAACCACACUAACACAAACAAUAUCCCAUAACGUAGUGCUCAACCACACUAACACAAACAAUAUCCCAUAACCCACAGGUGGAAAAAAUGCUACUUAAGUAUGAGCCCCAAUUAGAGACAAUGAGUCAGUUGCCUCUAUUUCGGAAUCAUACCAAAACCCCAACAUAGAAAAAACAACCUAGAACCCCACAUAGAAAAUAUAAACUAGACUAACCCCCCAGUCACGCCCUGACCUACUCCACACCAUAGAAAAUAAAGCCUCUAUGGUCAGGACGUGUGUAACAGCUUUCUUCUGUUGAAGGAGAGGCAGACCAAAACGCAGUGUGGUUAUUUAGAUACAUCUUUAAUAAAGAUGAAAAUAGAAUAUACAAAAACAAGAAACGUGAAAAACCGAAAACAGCCCUAUCUGGUGUAACAAAGACAGGAACAAUCACCCACAAACCCCAACACCAAACAGGCUACCUAAAUAUGGUUCCCAAUCAGAGCCAAUGACUAACACCUGCCUCUGAUUGAGAACCAUAUCAGGCCAAACACAGAAACAGACAAACUAGACACACAACAUAGAAUGCCCACUCAGAUCACACCCUGACCAAACAAAACAUAGAAACAUACAAAGCAAACUAUGGCCAGGGUGUGACAACGUGACAGUCUGUGUGUAUUACUGACAUGGCUCCCAGAUUGUGGCCAAUUUUUAACUUGACACAUUGUAAAAUCAAACUGAGAAAAUCCCAGGUACAUAAUUAAAACAUUCUGAACUACAUACAUCAACUAAGUAGGUUUGGCCCUACAGAAGACUAUAGCUAGGGUUCAGCCCUACAGAAGAUUUAGCUAGGGUUCAGCCCUUCAGAAGAUUUAGCUAGGGUUCAGCCCUUCAGUAGACUAUAGCUUGAGUUCAGCCCUACAGAAGACUAUAGCUUGGGUUCAGCUCUACAGUAGACUAUAGCUUGGGUUCAGCCCUACAGUAGACUAUAGCUUGGGUUCAGCCCUUCAGUAGACUAUAGCUUGAGUUCAGUCCUACAGAAACCUAUAGCUUGGGUUCAGCCCUAAACAUCCCAGACAGUCCUUUCUAAUAUUGUUAUGACUACAAUGGAUGAUAGGAGUAGGACACUACUGUGUAAAUAAAUGCAUGGUCAACAAUCUUCCCCAUAAAAUAUUGCAUCUCUGAUGAGGCAUAUCAAGGAUUAUUCUCUGAUGAGGCAUAUCAAGGAUUAUUCUCUGAUGAGGCAUAUCAAGGAUUAUUCUCUGAUGAGGCAUAUCAAGGAUUAUUCUCUGAUGAGGCAUAUCAAGGAUUAUUCUUUGAUGAGGCAUAUCAAGGAUUAUUCUCUGAGGCAUAUCAAGGAUUAUUCUCUGAGGCAUAUCAAGGAUUAUUCUCUGAGGCAUAUCAAGGAUUAUUCUCUGAGGCAUAUCAAGGACUAUUUUCUGAGGGGGAAACUACGACCUGAGUUAAGUGUAAAUGGAAUGUAAUUCCCUUUUUAAGCACUUCUCUCUCUAUGCGUAUUGUGAUCUUAAACUCAAUCAUCAGAAUAACAUGCUAUUCAUUUUGGGGGGAGAGCUAAUAAAUUAAGGUGUGGCUGGAGGUGUGUCUACAGAUGUGUCAUAUUCUGACCUUGACCCUAAAAAUUCCACCACCAUUACGUUGAUAAGUUGAUAAGAGCUAGUUAAAUGAGUCAUCUGUUUGGAGAAGGGAUUUGUAAAUACACAUUCAUUGUUUUACAUGAGUUUUCCUGAUAGAAAUAGCAUUCUCCAUGCACUGUAAUUUAUAAAUUGAUGAGAUCUAUUGAUAAGAGCUAGGUAAAUGAGUCAUCUGUUUGGAGAAGGGGUUUGUAAAUACACAUUCAUUGUUUUACAUGAGUUUUUCUUAUGAUCCCUAGAGAUGAAUGUGAAACCAGUUAUAUGGAAGCAAACUGAAAGUCCUAUCAACAUGACAUGUAUUGU